AAGAGUGUGUUGGUCUACCGGUUUUGACGCUGGCCUGGCAUCCAGCAAUCGCUGCGGCUUCCCGCCGGCUCUGGGCUUGCACAGACGUCUCAGGGGGGCGGCGAGCCUGACGGAAGUCCUGGCUUUCCCCUCCGCGCCCGUGGGUGUUAGGUGACACCUGAGGUGCAGCCUUUUCUACCGGUCGAUGAAUUCCCGACAUUUCCCACACCCACCAACUCGGGGCCACACUGACGUCCUCAAAAAGGGAAGGGCAGCGGCCCUGACUGUGCCAAGGGAAACGGACAUUCACAGUUUAACACUUACGGCGUGGAGUCAGGGCAAGGUUUACCGUGAAGCUGAUGAAACUCCACCCUCCUGGACCCACCCACUGGGUGCCGGGCAAGCUUGCACUGCACACAUAGGACAGCCUCCUACUGUGCCCAAGAGGAGAGUGCUGGAUCCCAAGGGGUCUCUCUGGCCGUAAAGCUGGUGACAAGUUCAAGUGGCAGCUCACCCAACUGGAUGCACAGGAAGAAGCAUUUUUGAUUUCUCAGAUUCUAAGAGAAUUCCUGGUCAGAUUUUUCUAGUUGUGUUUAAUCAUGGGAUGAAUAGAUAUAUUUUCUGGGGGAUUAGAAAAGUUGUUGUUAUAUAGGAAGCAAAUGCCAAAAUGUUUUACUUGAAAUUUUCUUGACUGUUGUUUCCAGUGCAUUUCAUUUUGUUUGUUUUAAAUGUUUGUCUAAAAUAUUUAUCUGUUAACCUUUAAUAAAAAAAAAAAAGGACAAAGUUGAAAUUCCUGCUAGCACUCGGGCAUAUGCACCUCCAGAUCUCACAUAAAUAAACAUACAAGUAUUGUGGUAUACGUGUGUGCGUGUAUGGAUGUGUCUUGUACAGAGAUCAAGAGGCAGUCUGUCGAACAGGUCAAGGGGAUACUGCGUGGUUUAAAAUUAGGAAAGGUGUGUGUCAGGUUUGUAUCUUUUCACCGUACUUAUUCAAUCUGUGUGCUAAGCAAACUGAACUACAUGAAGAAGAACGGGGCAUCAGGAUUGGAGGAAGACUCGUUAAUAACCUGUGAUAUGCAGAUGACAAAACCUUGCUUGCUGAAAUCCAAGAGGACUUGAAGUACUGACUGAUGAAGAGCGAAGACUACCCUUUGGUAUGGAUUCCACCUCAUCAUAGAGAGCAAAAAUUCUCCAGACUGGACCAAUAAAUGAUAUCACGAUAAAUGGAGAAAAGAUAGAAGUUGUCAAGGAUUUAAUUUUACUUAGAUCCACAAUCAAUGGCCAUGGAAACAGCAGUCAAGAAAUCAAAUGACAUAUUGCCUUGGGCAAAUCUGCUGCAAAAUACCUCUUUAAAGUGUUGAAAAGCAAAGAUGUUGCUUUGAAGACUAAGGUGCGCCUGACCCAAGCCAUGGUGUUUUCAAUUGCCUCAUAUGUAUGCAAAAGCUGCACAAUGAAUAAAGAAGACCAAAGAAGAUUUGAUGCCUUUGAAUUAUGGUGUUAGCAAAGAAUAUUGAAUAUACCAUGGGCUGCCAGAAGAACACAACAAAUCUGUAUUGGAAGAAGUGCAGUCAGACUGUCCCUUGAAAGCCAGGAUGGUGAGACUUCAUCUUACAUGCUUUAGUCCAUUAUCAGGAAGGACCAGUCCCUGGAGAAGAUGUCAUGCUUGGUGGGUCAGCAAAAGGGAGGAAGACCUUCAAUGAGAUGCAUUGAUAGGCUGCAAUAAUGGGCUCAAACAUAGUAACGACUGUGAGGAUGGCACAGGAUCAGACAGUGUUUUGUUCAACAGAACAGUAUGUAGGGUUGCUAUGGGUCAGAACUGACUCGAUGGCACUUAAUGACAUUUAUAUAUACAUAUAAAACAGUUGUAUUAAUGGGUCUUCCUUGUAGGCGUAUGGAUAUUAUCCUAUCACUAUCGUUGCCGUUGUUAGGUGCCAUGAAUUGGUUCUGACUCAUAGCGGCCCUAUGUACAAGAGAACGAAACACUGCCGGGUCCUGUGCCAUGCCCACAAUCGUUGUUAUGCUUGAGCCCAUUGUUGCAGCCACUGUGUCAAUCCAUCUUGUUGAGGGUCUUCCUCUUUUUCAUGUACCAAGCAUGGUGCCCUUCGGCAGGGACUGAUGUCUCCUGACAGCAUGUCCAAAGUAUGUAAGGCUGAGUCUCGCUGUCCUUGCUUCUGAGGUUGUACUUCUUCCAAGACAGAUUUGUUGGUUCUUUCGGCAGUCCAUGGUAUAGUGAAUAUUCUUUGCCAACACCACGAUUCAAAGGCGUCAAUUCUUCUGUCUUCCUUACUUGUCCAGCUUUUGCAUGCAUAUUGAUGCGAUUGAAAAUAUCACGGCUUGGGUCAGGCGCACCUUAGUCUUCAAGGUGACAUCUUUGCUUUUCAACACUUUGAAGAGAUCUUUUGCAGCAGAUUUACCCAAUGCAGUGUGUCUUCUGAUUCCUUGACUGCUGCUUCCAUGGGUGUUGAUUGUGGAUCCAAGUAAAAUGAAAUCCUUGACGACUUCAAUCUUUUCUCCAUUUAUCAUGAUGCUGCUUAUUGGUCCAGUUGUGAGGAUUUUUCUUUUCUUUAUGUUGAAGUGCAGUCCAUACUGAAGGCUGUGGUCUUUGAUCUUCAUCCUAUCACUGACAGCCUGUAUUUCAGGAUAGAUCUUGAAGUGUUCUUUUUGAUGAUGAAGGCAACACUGUUCCUCUUCCAUUUGUCAUUUCUGGGAUAGUAGGCAUAGUAGGCAAUAUGAUUGUCUGAUUCAAAAUGGCCAAUACCAGUCCAUUUCCGCUCACUAAUGCCUAGAAUAUCAAUCUUCAAGCAUUCCAUUUUAUUGUUGACGACUUCCAAUUUUCCUGGAUUCAUACUUCGUAGAUUCCAGGUUCUGAUUAUUAAUGGGUAUUUGCAGCUGUUUCAAAUGAAGGGCCUGAAGGAAUUACUCCAUCCAAGUUAUUAAGGUGGAUCCUACUUUGAGGAGGAAACUCUUCCCCAGUUGUAUUUUGAGUGCCUCCCAACCUGAGGGCUCAUCUUUCAGCACUAUAUCAGACAAUGUUCCACUGCUAUUCGUAAGGUUUUCACUGGCCAAUUUUAUACAUUUAAUUUGCUUUACUUUCAGUAUUCAGAGUUUUAAAUUAGACAUUAUACUACAUCACUUAAUACUCAAAGUAGUUUCAUACAUAGCUGAAUUGCUUUAUCAUAUCUGCCAAAUUAAAUAUUCCUUAAUAUACUAUAACAUUCAGUUCGUAUUAAAAUUUCCCUCAUUGUCUGAAAAAAAUCCUUUACAGCUGGUUUGUUCGAGACAAAAACCAAUCCAGAACUACAUUUUUAUUUGAUGAUGUCUCUUAAACCUGCUUUUAUCUAAAAUAGUACUCUCUUUUCUAUAAUUUAUUCUAUUUUUGUUAAGAAUAUAUACAACAGAACAUAUACCUAUUAAACAAUUUCUACAUGUACCAUUCAGUGACAUUGAUUACAUUCUUUGAGUUGUGCAAUCAUUCUCAUCCUCCUUUUCUGAGUUGUUCCUUCCCCGUUAACAUAAAUUCACUGCCCCCUGCAGUGUGAUGGAUCAGUUUUAUACCUUUCUCACGUGAUCUUGUAACUCCUACCCAAUGAUUGGGUGGGACUGUACAAGUAAGAUAAUUGUGGCCCAUCGAGGGGAUUGGAUAGCUUGCUAAUAAUGCAAAUAAAGUUCAUGGCACCCGUGUGUGGGUGGGGCCAUGCAGAUAAGGUCUAUGGAGAAUCCUAAUGAAGGGAUUGUUCAGCUUUGCCAUUCUGCUAGGCUUAAUAUGAGCCAUUCCAGAGGCGGGAGAGGAGGAUCUCACAGCCACCAAGAAAGAAGAGCCAGGAGUGGAGAGUGUCUUUUGGACCCAGGAUCCCUGGCCUGAGAAGCUCCUGGAACCAGGAGACUGAGAGAAAGAGCUGUAACAUGGAAGAUGGUGGGAAGCUGUGGCAGAGAAAUGGCAGUAGAAGAGACUGGUAGGAGACAGUGCAGUGGGCUUCUGGGCCCACAGAGCAAGAAAGCUUAGCUUCUUCUGGCAGGAGGCUUGCUGGAGGAGUAGGGUGCCUCCAGGCACUUGGUGGAACUAGGUUUCCUGACCCAUGGAGCUAAAGCUGAGUGCUUUGAGGCUGAGUCUGACUGGCAGAGUUGGGUGCUGAGGGCCAGAGAGAGAGAGGCAUGCCUGUGAGCAUGGCUGAGAAGAGGUUGUCCUGGUUGAAGAGCGUUCCUGACCCUGAUUUUAACCUAUUACUUCCCUAAUAAACCCCGUAACUAUGAGUAUGGUCUGUGAGUUCUGUUCAGCUAUUGAACUCAGCAGAGAAAUAGAGAGGGCUGUGGGAGAGGUGGUUGGUGUCAGAAUUGGUAAAGAUGGCAGAGAGAAGAGGCAUAUAUGACCUUUGCCUCAUAGGAAUCUGCCUUUGGGCUGUUGAUCUUGUUUUUCCUUCCCCCUUGUGAAGUUAGAGGAGGUCAGACAAUGCCCCUGCCACUCCAUUUUUUCACCCUUUAAGUCAUGAAGUGCUGUGGCUGCUAACCGUAGGGCCAGCAGUUUGGAUCCACCAGGUGCUCCCUGGAAACUCUAUGGGGCAGUUAUGCUGUUGUCAGUUUGAUCCCAUAUAGAUAGAUAUUCAAAGAUCACAAUGCUCAAGGUAGACAUUCUUACUAACCAAAGCCAAACCGUUGAGUUGAUUCCGACUCAUGGUGGCCCUAUAGGACAGAGUAGA